CCCUAAUUCUGUCUUCUCUGAGCCCCAAGAGAGGAGCUCUCUGGCGUGGACAUCAAGGCCUGGGAUAGGAAGUCCUUUCAGAGAUCAUGAGUCAUCUGUGUACUUUAUCCAUGGGGAACUGGGCUUUGAAAAUCCAAAUCCCUCGUGUGAUGUUAUUUCACUGCUUAUUUAUGGAUUCAUAAGAAACAAAGGGAAGAAGGAUGAAUCGAUCUGCAGUUGGACAUUAUUUAUACUAGAAUACCUCGGCCACAUCUGUCUCCUGUGUCAUUGCAACUCCAUUUCAAAGGGAUGA
rnacentral:lncRNA from 1 species